GGAAUCCAGAGGGAGGCAGUUGGAGCCAGGGUCUUUGGCUUUGAGACAUCUAUGGAAAAGGAAGCUUUUCAAUUGUGACUGAUCAUCCUGUGGUAGAAAUUGGGCACAGUUGUGGGAUGAGAAGUUGGGGAAGGGGUCCUAGAAGAAAAGAGCAGAAUGUUUCCAGGGAUUGCAGGAGGCCUCAACUAACUAUGGCUGGAACAGCUUCAAACAUGAUCUUCACACAGGAUUAUGCUUUCUGAGGCCCAGUAUAACUGAAUAUCGAAAAAUUGACUAUUCAUGUAUAUAUUUCUUCAGAUCUAUCCAUGAGCCUCAGGUUAAGAACCCUGGAAGUCUUACCUAAAGCUCCAUCCAAUUGAUUCUGUGGCUUGUUCAGGAGAAAAAAUAUACAAGAAUUUUGCAUGAAUUAGGUUCCAGAAAAAGUUAUAACGGGAAUAAAAAUAAACCAGUAAAUUGUACA
rnacentral:lncRNA from 1 species